rnacentral:rRNA from 1 species
AGUGAAGCGGGAAAAGCUCAAAUUUAAAAUCUGGCGGUCUUUGGCUGUCCGAGUUGUAAUUUAGAGAAGCGUCUUCCGCGCUGGACCGUGCACAAGUCUCCUGGAAUGGAGCGUCAUAGAGGGUGAGAAUCCCGUCUUUGGCACGGAUGCCUGGUGCUUCUGUGAUGCGCUCUCGAAGAGUCGAGUUGUUUGGGAAUGCAGCUCAAAAUGGGUGGUGAACUCCAUCUAAAGCUAAAUAUUGGCGAGAGACCGAUAGCGAACAAGUACCGUGAGGGAAAGAUGAAAAGCACUUUGGAAAGAGAGUGAAACAGUACGUGAAAUUGUUGAAAGGGAAACGCUUGAAGUCAGUCGCGUCGACCGAGACUCAGCCUCGCCUUGGCUUGGUGUACUUCUCGGCACGACGGGUCAGCAUCAAUUUUGCCCCUCGGAUAAUGGCAGGGGAAAGGUGGCACCUUUACGGGUGUGUUAUAGUCUUCUGUCGCAUGCGAGGGGUGGGAUUGAGGAACUCAGCGCGCACCUCAGUGUCGGGGCUUCGGCCCACGUCACGCGCUUAGGAUGCUGGCGUAAUGGCUUUAAACGACCCGUCUUGAAACACGGACCAAGGAGUCCAACACGCCCGCGAGUGUUCGGGUGGAAAACCCGUGCGCGUAAUGAAAGUGAAAGUUGGGACCUCUGUCGUGGAGGGCACCGACGCCCGGACCAGACCUUCUGUGACGGAUCUGCGGUAGAGCGUGUGUGUUGGGACCCGAAAGAUGGUGAACUAUGCCUGAAUAGGGUGAAGCCAGAGGAAACUCUGGUGGAGGCUCGUAGCGAUUCUGACGUGCAAAUCGAUCGUCAAAUUUGGGUAUAGGGGCGAAAGACUAAUCG